rnacentral:rRNA from 1 species
CGCGUAGGCUGUUGAGUAAGUCAAAUGUGAAAUCCCCGGGCUUAACCUGGGAACUGCAUUCGAUACUGCUUAACUUAGAAUAUGGUAGAGGGAAGUGGAAUUCCGGGUGUAGCGGUGAAAUGCGUAGAUAUCCGGAGGAACACCAGUGGCGAAGGCGACUUCCUGGGCCAAUACUGACGCUGAGGUGCGAAAGCGUGGGGAGCAAACA